ACGCUGGCAGCGUGUCUAAGGCAUGCAAGUCGUACGGUCAUCAUUUCUUCGGAUUUGAUGAUAGUGGCAAACGGGAGAGUAACACAUUGGUAACCUACCUUAAAGACGGGAAUAACUCGAGGAAACUUGGGCUAAUACCCGAUGUGCUGAUUUUAUUAAUUAUCAUCAGUAAAGCUUCGGCGCUUUAAGAGGGGCCUAUGUCUCAUCAGCUUGUUGGUAAGGUAAAGGCUUACCAAGGCUAUGACGAGUAGCGGGUGUGAGAGCACGACCCGUCUCACUGGGACUGAGACACUGCCCAGACUCCUACGGGAGGCUGCAGUCGAGAAUCUUCCUCAAUGCACGAAAGUGUGAAGGAGCGACGCUGCGUGUUUGAAGAAGCCCUUCGGGGUGUAAAAAACUUUUCUCAGGGACGAACUAAUGACGGUACCUGAGGAAUAAGAGGCUGCUAAACUCGUGCCAGCAGCAGCGGUAAUACGAGUGCCUCGAGCGUUACCCGGAUUUAUUGGGCGUAAAGCGUGUGCAGGUGGUUUGAUAAGUCAAUGGUUAAAAACUCCAGCUCAACUGGAGAGAGGCCACUGAAACUAUCAGACUAGAGGCUGGAAGAGGCUAGUGGAAUUGCCGGUGUAGGGGUCAAAUCCGUUAAUAUCGGCAAGAACACUCAAUGCGAAAGCAGCUAGCUGGGACAGUCCUGACACUAAUACACGAAAGCGUGGGGAGCGAAGCGGAUUAGAUACCCGCGUAGUCCACGCCGUAAACGAUGUGCACUAGACAUUGGGAGUAUCGACCCUCUCAGUGUCGCCGCAAAAAGCUAACGCGUUAAGUGCACCGCCUGGGGAGUACG
rnacentral:rRNA from 1 species